ensembl:snRNA U6 U6 spliceosomal RNA
AUGCUCACUUCAGCAGCACAUAUACUAAAAUUGGGACAAUAAAAAGAAGAUUGGUGGCCCUUGAACAAGACUGACACACAAAUUUGUGAAGUGUUCCAUUUUUUU